GGCUUGCGUGACAGUUUCCACUCACAGUGCGCUCACUCUGAACCUCUGUGCACACGAUGGGCCUGCAUCUCUUCCCACUAUCUGCUAGGAAACAUGAGGAGUUGGUUUGUUUGAGUACGAAGUCCAAGGCUCUCUGUGACUCUGAAGUCCCUCUGGAAUGCCGAGAGCUUCCGUCCCCCCCCACCCCGCCAUCACUCAUCAUUUAUCUGUUGAAGAAACCUGGUCCUUUGUUGGUCCUGUAGAAUUUCCGACACUCUGGGUUCUGCUGGCUGUCUCUGUAGUGUCGUCUACCAUAUUCCUCUGUCCCCCAAAUCCUGUGGCUCUGACGAUGAUGGUGAGGUGGUGGAGACGCCCUCACAGCUGGGCCACCCUCCCAUCGGGAGACACAUUGUGUCAGUUGCUUCCUCUGGAGUCCUUGUGAGUCAGACUCCUGAGUCAGGACCACCACCGUCAAGGUUGCCACCGCCGCCUCCUGACACGCGCCACCAGGCUCCGCGCUCAUGGCCUGGCCUGGCAUCUCACCAGGCUUUUCAAUGGACUAGAGUGCGGGGCUGCUCUGCCUGUGGCAAGGGUUGUCCUGCUGCUGGGCACAGGCCCAGAGAGGAAGUGGCAGAAGCUGGGCAUGGGAUGCUGGUCCUUGGAGUGUGUGGGGGCCACUGGGUUGAACGCAGCCCGCUGCAGCCCUGUGACCUUGAGUGAGUCCCUUUGUGGCUGGGUGGGAGGACACCAAGGCACAGACUGAGGACAGGCCCUUUCCCUGGCUCUCGGCUGGCCUGGUUAUCACCAACAGGACCUCGCAGGCCCUUCCCCUCCACGGGCCCCAAGCCCCAUCUGUAAGAAGGGGCAGCCCAGCUUGUUUCAAUGAAUCCAAGAGAAACACUAGUUUUUGUCCUAGAGGAGAGGCCUGGCAUGUCCCUUCGCACUAGUGAUCUGGGAGGGAGUGGAGCUGACGCCAAGACCCCACGAAACUACCUUCUUUCCCUCUGUACCUGGAAAGGGCUUGGCUCCCACCACCUUUGGUGGGAACAGCCGUUCAGAGCAUUUUGCAAGGCCUCAUUCUUUCCUGGAAUCCCGGUGGAGAACCAGCUGGCUGAAGGAAUGAUCUGGAGAAAAGAGUUGUAGGAAUGUGUGUGUCUGCCUAGAAAAUGAAUUGACUCUGAAAAAUGGGCCGUAGGCCAGAAAUAGCAGCUCUCCUGCCCUGGUCACUGCUGUUAGGAGGACAGUGUGGCGUGUCCUUUCACUCUUCGAGCACCUUUGGCUGCUAGGACUGGUGGGGGCCCCCUCUACAGGAGGUCGUCGUCCCUCUGGGCCCACCGCUGGGCACGCAGCUCCCGUGGGCAGGUGGAGUGGACACGGUGCCUCUUAGGACUUGGGGUCCUGAUCAGCUAGCCGGCAAUCCCCCGCGGCAAAGUCCACCCCUCAGUGAAAGCCAAAAGCACUGCUUGAUGGGCAGGCCUGGCUACGGGAGCCGUAGUCAUCACACACCCAGUAAAUCAUGCUCCUGGCACCUCCACACAGAGUGGCGAUUUGUCAAAGCAAAUGCAAGCAAAUACCCACCCACUGCCGGCCUGGCAGGCUCCCCAGGAGUCGGAUAGCUGGGGAGAGCCUGGACACACUGGCAGCUCUGGGAGCCCGGGGCACAGACUGCUCAGGGCAGGUCGCCCCUACCCCAGGAGGGGGCUGUGUCUGCAGGGGCCCAAAAGGAGACUCAGAGAGGCAGCUGGAAACCCACAAAACUAGACUUGUUCAGAAAAUGGCCAAGCCCUUGGCCUAAUUAUUCUCCUUUUUUCUUUUAAGUUAAAAGACUACUUUUUAGAGCAGUUUUCAUGUUACCGAUACAUCGGUCAGAGAGUACGGAGCUUCCCACAUUGCCUCCUGCACCCCAUAGCAGGCAGAGGCACCAGCCAGGCGCCAUCCUUUACAAGCUGUUUCAGCAAAAUGUCCCUGGGUCUUAAUGACUAAGUCCAGGCACUCCAAGGACGAUUAAAUAUUUAAACAGCAGCUUCCCUUUGAAGGGAAGGAAAUGACCGCAGAAGGGAGUGCAGCGUGGGGGCAGGAGGUGCUGCGGCCAAUGGGCAGUGCUGGGAGAUGAAACCAACAGCGGCGAUGGCCCCAGAAAGAACUUGGCGCUGCUAAGGCAAUGGCGGCCCGAAGGAGGCCCCUGACGCCUGAGGAGCGGCCGCCGUCUCCAGCCCCAGGCCUCCCUCCCCUGUGUUUCCCGCAGCCCCCUCUGGAGUCUCUCCCCCGCCCCGCACCUGUAGGGAGACCCUGGGAAAGUGGGCCAGUUAUAAUUGCAAAAAAUAAACUGUCAGUAGCCACAAGAUCUUAUAAACGUAAAAGUAAUCUGAAAACCUACUUCAGUUAGAGAAAGGGCGUUUGAAUAUUUCCUGUUUAAGACACAGACCCCCUGAGAAGAUGUAUAAAGGACUUGGGCUGGGUGUGGUGGCUCACACUGCCCACACCAUGACCUUGGACCCCCGGCCUCCGGAACUGAGAGGCGCCGAACGCCUGCUGUUCAAGCUGCACCGUGAUGGGCACUUGGUUCUGUCUACCCCAGGAAAAUGAGCCCAGUGCUCUCCCCAAACUCCUUUGUCCUGAACUUCUUUCCAGAGCCCUCAGCCCUAAUGGGUGGUCCCCUAGUGUCCUCAGCCUUCAGACUCUAAAUUCCUGUUGGAAACCCACAGGCAGUAGAGCCACGCCCAGGCACUCAGCCACUGUGCUGCUCCCACGGGGGGCCCAGCAAACAGCCAGAGGCAGGCCUGGGGAGAGUUCCAGGGGGCUGGGAGACGGGUGGGAAACUUGCCGCUGGCGGAGCGGUUGGUGGAGGGGUUGGAGGAGGGGCCGACAGGGAAACGCGGUCCACGCCUCUGUCUGGGGGCUGUCACCUCCAGGGCUUUGAGCCUCACCAGCGUUCCGCCGCAUGGCUUGGAAGGUGUUGCUUUUCCUCCAGGGAGCUCAGGCCUCCGCAACAUGAGGACACUGCGACCCGGAAGCACUCUGUGCCGUCUGAGCUGCCCGCGAUCCAGUCCCUAAGAGGGACCAUCGGCAGGCGGCUUCCUGGCUCGGGGUCCGCACAGGCCUGUGGUAGCCCUGUGAGGGUCGGCUCCUGCAUAGAACCCUGCCUGACUUCCCAGUAAGAGGGUGCUGCCUCCUGGGGACUCUCAGCCAGGAGGAGGCCAUGAGAACCGUCAAGAAGUUCAUGGACUCAGGAGGACGUCGUCAGCAGUGCUGAGGUCAUGGAAUGUGGGCUGGGACCUUGUGUUUGGUGACAUCCUGUAAGUACUCGGCUCGCUCAAGCUAACUGCCCGGCUGGGAUCACCGCUCUAGGAGGACUCAAGAGUUCAGAUGAGUGGCCCAGGGGCCCGUCAGUGCUGUGCGUCUCGCCCCCCGUGGGUGGGGGAGGAGCCUGGGGACUUGGCCAGUCCUGGAGGAGCCCUGAGACCAGGCCCUGUGGCGGGCACCACGGCACGGGGAGGUGCCUGGAGGGCUGGAGCCCACUUGGGGGGCCUUGGUCAGUCGGGGCUGCAGAAGCAGAGAAAUGCGGGAUGCCCAUGCUGGCUGGGACUCGCCCACUGCCCUGCACAUGGCGAGUGAGGGAGAGAGGCAAGGCACCUUUCCAGGGGUGCAUGGGAGGCUGCGGUCAAAGGUCCUGCACACCCGCAUGCGUGCUCACAUCUGUAGCUGCAGACACUGACCCCCAGAGACCUCCGAGCUCAUGUGGGGCUGGUGUAGGCGUGGGGUGGACGCUGGGGCAGUGUGGGCUCCUCCUCCUCCUCCAUGCGCUUGACGGGGUGGGGGUGGCCCCUCCCCUUGCCCUGGGAGCUCCAGCCCCCUCCCCACCCUCCCUGUGGCCCCAGUAGGCAGAGCCCUGGCCCCUGCCUCAGGCCAGGUUUGGCAGAGGGGGCCCUGGCUGGAAACUGGAGGCAGAUGGAGGGGAGCUGGGGUUGCGGGCUGGCCGUGUCCCCUAACCCCUACACAGCCCAGCUCUGCUCCUGCUCCGCCUGGGUGUUCUGCAGGCUGGGGUGGAGGUGCUCCAGGACUGCCCCACAGCCCAGGGCCACACACCCCUGGAGCGAUCCCUAUCUCUGUCUGCGCCCUGGCCUCCUUCCUGCCAAGACCCUGACUGAGUCAAUAGGCUUGACUUUCAUAAACUGGCCAACAAGAUUGAGACCACACUUGGAGUGGAAGAUGGGGCCAUCUUAAGCCCUUGCCCCCUGCACAGGUCAGCCUGUGGCCAACGUCCUGGGCCGAGCCUCCUCCUCUUGCUCCACGCUCUUCCCACCCUGAGAGGGGCCUGGUCUGGGUGGGUCUCCUGGGACCCCCAGUGUUCGAACAUGACCUGAAAAGCAGAAAUGGAGGCUGAAGCCUUGGCAAGGAGGCCAGCACUUCACUUCCCAAUCUCACCUUCCACAGCUGAUGUGCAGGGCCGGGGGAGUGUUGGUAAUCCUCCCAGGACACACAUGUCUGCAUUUAAGGGUGUGCCUGACAUGAAAGGAAAUUUAUUCAAUGAUCUUUGCUAAAGACCAGAAGGGGACUACUCAGGACCAGUGCGGUGGGUGCUGGGACCAGGGCAGUGGGAUUUUGCAGUGGUGGAGAGAGAUUUAGGCUCCACUCUGAAUAUGGCUCCAGCGAGUGGGAUUUGAUAGCCCAGGAGCAGAGUGGGGUCCUCGGAUGGAACAUCACUAAGAACAAACAGCAGGGGUGGGAGGGUUCUGGCUGAAGGGAGGCGGGGUCAUCCAUCAUCACCUGGGUGCCGGAGGACGAGCAUGCUGCCCUGACGAGGAUGAUCAGAUACGGGGCGGGGCAGUUCUGGCUGAAGUCACUUAGCAGUGUUCUUGCUAAAACUGGAUUUUGCAAGGAAGUGUGCAGGUGGCCUAGAAGGUUCAAGGGCCUGAUAAAGUUUGGCCAAGCAAAGAAUCUUGGCACUGAGAAUUAGAAUCAAGGGCAGGUGGCUAAAUAGUGUCUUGUGGAUUCUCUCCAGCUUUUGCGGCCCCUCCCUCCACAUCCUGCUCUGGGUAGCCCCUAUCCUGCAGCCAUGACCCAGAUUCCUGAAGAGGGGAUGACUAUACAGGGGCCUGGAUGCUGGGUGCCGGCCUCAGGGGCGGGAGGCACCGGGAGAGGCCUGGCCGGAGAGCCGCCGGGACCCAGGUCAGGUCAGGACCCAGUGUGUAGCGGAGCUUGGGCUCAUGAGGUCAGAGCUGGAGCCACUGCACAUCGUCUCCCAGGGCCGGGGCUCCCAGAGGACAUGCAGUGUCUGCAGUUUUCUGGGGUGCCCCCGUCCUCUGCAUGGCACUCUGCGUGUUGGGGGCCUAUUGCGAGCUGCUCAUCCUGGCUUCUUGGGAGCAGCGUGGCCUGAGCAAGGGAGGCUGCCCAGGACCGGCGCCUGUGGGGCGGGGCUGGUCGCAGGGUCUUGGUCCCCGAGGGCUGAUUCCUGCUGAAUGCUUCAAUGGCCAAGGGUGGAUCCCUCUCCUUCCAGCCUGAGGCUGUUUCAGGAAGAAACAGUCAGGCCCUGGCAGGUUUCCCUGCCCAAGGGGAGAGUCUGAGGAGGGGCUGACUAGGCAGGUGGAGCAGGGGGCCACUUUCAUCGAGUUUGUGUUCAGAACUCACUCCAGGGUCCUUUUCUUUUGGGGCCAGGCAGGCAGCACCAUGUGGGACAUUAUUAGCAAGAAGAGGAGGGGCCCAGGAGAGCUCACAGGGCGUUUUGGGAGCUCCGUAGACAGGCAGGUCCUGAGGACUUUUGGAAAGGGUAGAACAAGGUCCCGGGCAGCUUUGUGGUGGUCGAGAGCGAGGGAGGAGGUGGCCUCCCUGAGCAUGGAUGGCUGGAUGCACGCCCCAGACCCAGGGGCAGAGGCCGAGAAGGGAAGGUGGGGGCCCAGGGACCACACUUGGCAGGGUGGAGGGGGCAGGGGGAGCCACUUGCUGGGGAAACUUCACCGGAUGAUCUGGGCUGAGGACGCGCGAGUGUGGAAGAAACGGCACCUCCCCCAUGCCAGAUGCUGCCCACCACCGGCACAGGGCCAGAGUUGGGGUCAGCGGGGCAGCCGUGUGCCCCCAGUGGGAGCUUGGAGGUCACGGAGGAAAUGCGAGACCAGAUGCAGGCAGGGGAGUCCUCCGGAGCCUGCAGGAGGGGGGGCCGGUGGCUCAGGGGCACCGGGAGACCCCCACAUGGACAGGGUGGAAAGGGCUUUCUUCAAAGCCAGGAUCUUGUCUCCAUCACAGUGUCCCAGCAAGGCAUUGGGAGUGCUUGCUGCCAGGAGGCUCCCCGGUCCCGCAGCAGCCCCUCAGCGGCUGCCCUCCAAGGAAGGGGCGCACAGACACUCCAAGGCUCCACAGCGCGUGGGCCAGGGGCCGGAUCUACCCCCGGGGCAGCGGGACUGAGCGUGAGCCCAGCGCAGCCCCUCCGACUGCAUCAUUGUUAGGGGCCUUCUCGGAGCUGGCAGACCUAGAACCAGGCCUAGGGGGUGGGGGCGUGCCUGGAUGUGCACUGGAGGUGGGGGGUCUGAACCCUUAGUUAGGACUGCGGGCCCUCCUUUCCACUUCCUUCAGUCCCUGGGGUCUGGGGCAUCCUAGCCAUGCGUGGGGCCUCCCUGCUGGGAUUGGAGACCCCCUGACAGCUGGGGCUGGUCCCAGCAUCUUCGCUCUUCCCCCAGGAGGACUUGGACGCAGGGUCUUCUCUGCUCCCCGUCACACAGAGGGUGGCACACCCGAUGGGAACUCUGAUUUAUCACCAAACCAAAAGAUGGAGAAACUGACAGAGAAGGGCUGCAAGCAGCUACGGCAGGGCGGUGUGUGGAAGCAGAUGGGAUGGGCAGAUGGAGGCGGGGGCCAGCAUCGCUGCCUUCUUGCCCCUCCCAGAGGACCCCAGGUCCCCAGCUCGGGCGCCCCACCCAGACUGGUAACACCUGCGUCUGCUGUUUGGCACCGGGAGAUGAAUCACUUGCUUUUCAAAUUAGAAUCUUCCUUGCUGUCAGAAAUGUUUCUUCUCUACAAGGAAAUGGAGGUGAAAUUUUUAUAUGGGAAGGGUAGCUCCCUUGGCGAAUUGCAGGGCAGCGGAGGGCGGGUUCGGGGAGCUGAGUGCAGCCCGAGGUGCAGCUUUCAGGCUGGGAGGAAGCAGCUGCUUCCGGCUCCUCGGGACACGAGACGGGGACAGCGUGUGCUCGGCGGGUGGGAGUGACGCUGCCCACCUGCGGGCGUCUCCUGGGGAACGGGGUAUGUGGGCUGUGUGGCAGUAUGGAGCCCAGAGCUGAUAGGAGGCUGCGCUGUCAGGCUGCAUUUGACCAUUUAUGGAGCCAGGCCGUGAGGAAGCCCUGAAUUAGAAAGGCAUCCAGACCCAGGCUGCAGCCUCAGGCCGGGCACUGUCCCCUGCAUGGCUCCGGCGUCCCAGCUUGGUGUUAUCAGCACACAGAGGUUGAGGCUAUGGCUCCGUCUGGGCUGUUAGCACAGAGAAAAAAUGCCCAAAUGACUUGGUAAAGGGCGGGCUUCCUGGCCCCAUGGCUGCACGGGUGGGCUGGCUUCCUGUGUUUGCUGAGAUUUCUUUGAGGCAGCCCCACGGUAGAGGCCACUCUGGGUCCCGGCCCUGCGCUGGGCACUGUGCUGAGCGCCUCUGUGGCUGCCAUCAUCUGAUUUUCAGUGCACUCACAGGCAGGCGCCAGGCUUCACUUUAAAGAUGGGGAAGCUGAGUCUCAGGGAAGUGGGGCCUGUGCCAGGGUCUUAGCAGGACUUCUGGGGUUGCUAGGACCCCCACGGGGCUGGGCUGGGGGUCUUCAUGCCAGGCCCAAUCCCUUUCCCAUAGUUCCCCCCCCGGCACUACCCAACAUGUGGUCUCCGGUCAUCUCGUGCUGUCUCCACCCCUCCCUCCGCUUCUCUGCUGGAGUUGUCCCUGUCACCUUACCCCAGAGCCUUCUUUGUUCUUACAGUCCCAGGCGGAGGGUACCUCGGAGCACACUCUGCAGCCUCCGGCUCUCCCUCCUAAGUCCACCUGCCCGGCCGAUUGGGCUGUGUGGUCACUGUCCUCAAGACCUUGUGUGCCAUGAGGGCUCAGAGCCCUGAGCCUCAGCACAGGAAGUGCCACCCAGGCAGCCAACACCUGCUCAGUGGGCGGACGGCCUUGCCGACUCGGCUUUGCUCCCGGGAGCCUCCUGGAGAAGAAGCCACAGGGAGACGGACAGCCCUGGGCAGCUCCAGCUUGCCAGCUCCACAUCCAAGGUCCUCCUUCUGGGGUGGGGUUACAAUCUGUUCAAAGCAUAUGCCCAGAAUAACAUUUUUGAAAGUCUUUAAAAAUGGGGUAAAGCUGACGUACCAUGAAAGACACAAAUCUUAUCUCGUGCUCAGGUCUUCUUUGUGUGUCUGCGCCCGUGUAACCGCCGUGCGUGUCAGUGAGUCCCUCCAAGAGCACGCCAGAACCACAGAGAACCCCUGGUCCCCCCCAGGGACUCCCCCGAGUCAUGACCCCCAGAGGUGACCUCUCCUGUGAUCUCUGACUUCCCAGCCUGUGGGGGUCUUGGGGACUGUGUUCUCCCUGCUGUUAGAGGACACAGGCCCUUUCUUUUCAUGGCUGUGCAGGGAGGGAGCGGGAGACACCACGGGUUGUUCCUUCUGCCGAGGGACACUGGUGACUUCAGGUUGUCUUUCUGUGGCUUUCACGCUGGCUCUGGUGGGACCUGCGCUCAGCAGCAGACACUGGCCCUGGGGGUUGUGUGAAGCUUUGCUGCUAUUCCCCACAGGGUGUGGGGUGCCAGUUACCCUCCCCCACAGCUGUGGGGACUCCCGGGACCCUUGUCGUCAGCCUUUGCCAUCUCAGCUCACCUGGCGGGGGUAGAAUAACGUUUUGCAGGAAAGUUACAGACUUCCUGUCAGCUCAACUCUGCAGAAGAGGAGUUUGGUGGGAAGUUUUUCCAGAGUCUUCCCUCAGCCUGGGGCACAACGUCACUGAAAUGCUGGAGCAAUCAGGGGCCAGCCCUCAAAUGGAGGCCUCGCCUCCCCACCGAAAGGCCAGGCCCGUUCAGAGAAGACCCCGUGGACGUGUGGGGCGUGCAGGCUAGGCGGGGUGGGGCUGAGUGGCUGGGUGUCAGGCAGGGCCUUUGGGAACAGAAGGUGGGUCCCUAGGGAAGGUGGCGGUCACCGUCAGCCUGGCGAGCAGUGGCCCUUGUGGAAAGGGGGCUUCGGACGUGCUCAGGAGAUGCAGAACCCCGUCUGUGGGAGAGCUCCUGAGAGUUAGGGGCCAGGCUCAGCUCCCAAGGCUGCCCUGACAGAGGCCACACGCUGGGGAGCUAAGAUGCUGAGCCUCUCACAGCUCUAGAGGCUGGAAUUGGGGAUCAGGGCAUCCUCAGGCCCCUGCCCACUCUGGAGGCCUGAGGAGAGGGUCCUCCCUGCCUCUUCCAGCUCCUGGUGACCCCGGGCGUCCCUCUGCAUGCGGCUGUGUGGCUCCAGUCUCUGCCUCCAUUGAAACGUGGCUGUCCUCCCUGCGUCUGUGGGGCUGACUUCCCUCUUCUUACAAGGAUGCCGUCAUUGGAUGAGGGCCCACCAUACUCCAGUAUGCAGCCAGGCAGUGAGCAGCCGACAGGUGCCUCAGUGUCCCAUGCAGCAUAGCCAAGCAGAGUGGGCGAGGGCCAGCCCCCCAGGAAAGCUGCUUGUGCCUGCCCGCAGUGGGACAAACCUCGGCACUGAGUGUGUCCACAGAUGCCAACGCCCCUCAGACGGAGUGAGUUGAUGACUGUUAAAUGUAACAAUAUAAAUGGCCUUGUAUUUUGUA